rnacentral:rRNA from 1 species
UAAGGAAUAUUGGACAAUGGAGGCAACUCUGAUCCAGCCAUGCCGCGUGAAGGAAUAAGGCCCUAUGGGUUGUAAACUUCUUUUAGACGAGACAAAACCCCUUUACGUGUAAAGGGUUGAUGGUACUGUCAGAAUAAGCAUCGGCUAACUUCGUGCCAGCAGCCGCGGUAAUACGAAGGAUGCAAGCGUUAUCCGGAAUUCUUGGGUUUAAAGGGUGCGUAGGCGGACUAAUAGGUCAGUGGUGAAAGCCUGCAGCUUAACUGCAUAAUGGCCAUUGNUACUGUUAGUCUUUAGUACAGUUGAGGUAGGCGGAAUGUGUCAUGUAGCGGUGAAAUGCUUAGAUAUGACACAGAACACCGAUUGCGAAGGCAGCUUGCUAAGCUGUAACUGACGCUGAGGCACGAAAGCGUGGGGAGCAAACA